AAUGAACGCUGGCGGCGCGCCUAAUACAUGCAAGUCGAGCGAGAAGACGUAGCAAUACGUUUGUAAAGCGGCGAACGGGUGAGGAAUACAUGGGUAACCUACCCUAGAGUGGGAAUAACCUAGCCGAAAGGUUAGCUAACUACCGCGUACGCUCCUUGGACUUCGGUUCAGGGAGGAAAGCGAUGCCGAGGGUAUCGCGCUCUUGGAUGGGCUCAUGUCCUAUCAGCUUGNGGUGAGGUAACGGCUCACCAAGGCUUCGACGGGUAGCUGGUCUGAGAGGACGAUCAGCCACACUGGCACUGCGACACGGGCCAGACUCCUACGGGAGGCAGCAGUAGGAAUAUUGCGCAAUGGCGAAAGCCUGACGCAGCGACGCCGCGUGGGGGA
rnacentral:rRNA from 1 species